GAUGAAGAACGCAGCGAAAUGCGAUAAGUAGUGUGAAUUGCAGAAUUCAGUGAAUCAUCGAAUCUUUGAACGCACAUUGCGCCCCUUGGUAUUCCAUGGGGCAUGCCUGUUCGAGCGUCAUUUGUACCUUCAAGCCUAGCUUGGUAUUGGGUGCUUGUCCCGCCUCUCGCGCGGCGACUCACCUCAAAGUCAUUGGCAGCCCGCAUCUCGCCGGCCGUGAGCGCAGCACAGACGCGCUCUUGGCAACGACGGAUCGGCUCUCCAAAAGCUUAUUUCAACCACUGACCUCGGAUCAGGUAGGGAUACCCGCUGAACUUAAGCAUAUCAAUAAGCGGAGGA
rnacentral:misc_RNA from 1 species